rnacentral:rRNA from 1 species
UGUAAGCGUAUACCAAAGUUGUUGCAGUUAAAACGCUCGUAGUCGGAAUUUGGCAGUUCCGGAUGUGUGCACGUCGUGUGCGCACUUCGCGGGGAUUGCUUUUGUGGUCUUGCGUAGGAUGAGGCACUUUUAUUAGUGAACGUCCUCACGCAACCACUUUUUACUGUGAGAAAAUCAGAGUGCUCAAAGCAGGCAUUUGCCGUGAAUGUAUUAGCAUGGAAUAAUAGAAUAGGACUUGGUUCUAUUUUGUUGGUUUGUUGGGACUGAGUAAUGAUUAAGAGGGACAGUUGGGGGCAUUUGUAUUUCGGUGUUAGAGGUGAAAUUCUUAGAUUACCGAAAGACAAACUGCUGCGAAAGCGUCUGCCAAGGAUGUUUUCAUUGA